rnacentral:rRNA from 1 species
AUUGAACGCUGGCGGCAUGCUUUACACAUGCAAGUCGAACGGCAGCGCGGGCUUCGGCCUGGCGGCGAGUGGCGAACGGGUGAGUAAUGCAUCGGAACGUGCCCAGUGGUGGGGGAUAGCCCGGCGAAAGCCGGAUUAAUACCGCAUACGACCUGAGGGUGAAAGCGGGGGACCGAAAGGCCUCGCGCUAUUGGAGCGGCCGAUGUCGGAUUAGCUAGUUGGUGGGGUAAAGGCUUACCAAGGCGACGAUCCGUAGCUGGUCUGAGAGGACGACCAGCCACACUGGGACUGAGACACGGCCCAGACUCCUACGGGAGGCAGCAGUGGGGAAUUUUGGACAAUGGGGGCAACCCUGAUCCAGCCAUGCCGCGUGCGGGAAGAGGGCCUUCGGGUUGUAAACCGCUUUUGUUCGGGAAGAAAUCCUCUGGGCUAAUACCCCGGGGGGAUGACGGUACCGGAAGAAUAAGCACCGGCUAACUACGUG